AAUUUGUGGUUGCACAUUAAAGUAGAUAAAACAGUGGGUUAUUAAACUAUUGACGUAUAUUAAUUGGCGUAUGAUGUUGUAUAUUAUAGUUAUUAAAAAUAAUUAAAUUUAUUUAAACAACGUGACAGCAUAUUUUAAUUACAGAUAUGGCAUACUAAUUACAUAAAUUACACAAAUAAUGUUUGAAUAAAAUGUGAUAUACGAAUAAUAUUGUAAUUAUUUGUUCGAAAAUUAUUUUUUAGCUGAUAGAUUUUUUUUCAGUCACUUAUUAUAUAAAUAACAACACCACAAUAGGUGGAAUCUGUUAGAAUAUCUAAGAAUACUGACAUUCGUAUUUACAAAUUUUUAUCACGGUUGUUUUUCAAAAAUAUUAAUACAAGAAAUAUUAUUAAAUUAAAUAAACAAGUUACUUAAACUGCACAGAUAUAAAAUAAAUAAAUAAAUAAAUGAAUUUUUUUAAUAUUACUAACCAAUGGUUAAUCGAGUCAAAAAGUAGGUAUUAUAAUACCAUAUUAAACGCCGAGUGCAAUUAAAAAUCAUAAUAUAGGGACAAUAUUUCUCUUACUAGGUAGGUUAAAUCAAUAUAAAAAUGUUAGUGUUGUGGUAACAAAGUAAGCUGUUUUUAAACUUGUAACUUUAUUUAAUUUGUAAUAUAUAAUAUGUAAACAUAUUAAUAAUUAAUUUUUCUUUGCAGAAAUACACAAAACUAAGUUUAAAUCUUAAAUAGUUGUACAGUAUGGAUUAUGAAACAUUCGAAUUUUCUUCUGAAGUCAAUACUAAUGUAACUAAUGUACCAAUAAUUAUUAACGCCACUUCCUUCUUUACGCGAGGAUACCGUGUCGCUGCAACAAAAAUACGGCCUGUUGACAUCGACCACGAUCGCUCUAAUAACUUUUGUUUAUAUAAAUGUGUGUAUAUUUGAUGAAAACAUAUUGUACAAAUUUUUUCACAAUCGAACUUAGUACAGCACAUUGAAAUAAAUAUAGAGAAAUAAAUUAAAUAGAAAUAAAAAUACCUAAUAAUAAUUUUCAUUUGCUGAUUAUAAUUUUUAGUUAAGUAUUUUAAAAACCUAUUAUUAUUUCUUAUAAUUUACUAAUAAUGACACCGGAUAGAAUAAAAUAUAAUAUUAUAUAUCCUAUAUUAUGUAGGUACCUAUAAUUAUUUGUGUGAACAGUGAUAAAAUAGAUAUUAAUUAUCGUUUCUGUCACUAUUUUUUCGAGAAAAUAACCAUAUUUUAGUUUUUGUUUUAAAUACAUUUUUUAAAUUUAAUAUAUAUUAUAUUAUUAUUUAUUAUGUAUAUACCCCAUCUUCAUUAUUUCCGAGGUUGAUAAUCUGUCGGUAUUAGAUCAGGUCAUGGCCUGAUUGGCCUGGCCCGUAGUUUCACCUACAUCUACCUACUAAUAAAAUUAUAAGACUUUACAUAAGUAUCAAUGUAGCUAUUAUAAAUCAAUUUAUGGUUGAAAAUUGUUUAAUAAUAAUAAUAAGGAUACAUUUUAAAUAAACCAAAAAGUAACACGGAGAUAAUAUAUAUAUUUUUUAAAUAAAUAAAUUUUAUUACUCACUUAUAUUUGAUGGAAGUUUUUAUUUUAUCCUGACGACGGCAAUGACGAUACUGAUUGAAA